UGCGAAUUUUUUACUGCAGUCUGCAUGCGACCGCUUAGUUGGUGUUGAUGAUGGAGAGGCUCCUAAAUAAGUGGGGAUUAGGUGGUUUAGUUGCUGUGUUUGAAGGACAUAAGUGCUAUUCUGGAAAAGGCUGCUGGUGGCCAGUCCAUUCUCGGUGAACUUGAAGAAGGUGGACCACAGAGUGCCUCUAACAGACGAAGAAUGGUGAGAAUAGUUGUAUCCCACCUCAUGGAGAAAUAUGGAAACAAACCAUCUGCUGAACAGAAGGUGGGCAUGGCAAUAUCCAUGAUUCAACAAUUUCCAGCACUGAAAGAUGUUGAAGGACCUGGUUAUGAAGCAUGGUAUACACCAGCAGUAGAGGGUGAACAUGCAAAGGGCUUCAUCGAAGAAAGGUUGAAAAAUGUGAGAAAGAGAAUGCCAAAGCAAGGGUGGACAUCUUUGGAACCUUCAAGUUCAAGUGAGGAGAACCAGAAAGAACCAUCAACCAAGGAAAAAAUUGAAGAACUAAAAUCUAAAG